rnacentral:rRNA from 1 species
UUAUUACGAAGAACCUCCCCACCUCCUGACAUUCGCGGUAUGGGCUUCGGAGACGAUGUCCUUCAGUUAGGCUGUCCCCAGAACGGGUGCCCCAGGCCUGUGUUCAGCUCGUGUGGUGAGAUUUUGGUUAAAGUCCCCCACCGAGCCCACCCCUCUCCUUUAGUUGCCAGCAUUUAGCUGGGCACUCUAAGGGGACUGCCGGUGAUAAGCCGGAGGGAGGUGGGGAUGACGUCAAGUUAUCAUGGCCCUUACGGGUAGGGCUACACACGUGCUACAAAUGGUGGUGACAAGGGGCAGCGAGACAGGAGAGCCAACCUAAUCUCCAAAAGCCAUCGCAGUCCGGAUUGCAGUCUGCAACUCGAGUGCAUGAAGUCGGAAUCGGAUAGUAAUCGCAGAUCAGCAUUAAGCGGGAAUACGACCUU